UCUGAGCACUUUUACAUUUUUGUGUAUACCGGUAACUAGUGUUGCAAAAGGGCGGAAAAGUUCCAUUAACUUUCCAUUGGAGUUUUUGGAAAUAUCUCCAGUUGGAAACGAAAUGGGAAUUAAAAUGAAUUAAUUGGAUUAUUUAUUUAAAUAGUAUCGUACAUAAACAUAGAUAAAAACAUUUUGUUUGGUUAUAAGCUGACAUGCAUGGAAAAAAUCUUUCAUUUUUUACUUUAAUGAUAUGGAGGAUGCACAGUGUGUGCAGGGCGUGUGGACUCACACAACUUUUUUACAACUACAAUGAAGUGCACUUACAUGCUAACUUACAAAUUUCCAGUUUCACUCAUUGCUAAUCCAUUCAUUGACAGCAGUGUCUGUUAAUUGUUGUUCAACUGUUCUUUGUUUCCUUAUGUGCUCUAGGUAUAUGUGGAAGACCUUCCAUUAAUGUUUCAAAGCAGCAAAUAGAGUUUCUAAUGAAACAAGGACACACCGUUAAGCAGAUGGCCAAGAUUCUUGGUUGCUUGACUUCAUUUAUUUAUAGGAAAACCAAACUGUUCGGAAUUCCUAUACGAAAACUGCAAACACAAAUGACCGAGGAAGAACUUACACAGCAUGUGAGAAGACUUCACAGUCUCUAUCCCAACACAGGAAGUGAGAUCAUGAGAGGACUGCUACUUGCAGAAGGGCUGUUUGUCCAGCGACGUAGGGUCUGAGAAGCUCUUACCCAAAUCGAUCCAACUGCAGCUGCACGCAGAUGGAGUAGUGCCAUCGCCAGGAGAGUCUACCAUGUUCCUCAUCCAAACAGUUUAUGGCACAUAGACGGAAAUAUGCAUUUGAUUAGGUGGGGCUUUGUUGUUCAUGGAGCCAUCGAUGGGAAAUCUCGCCUUAUAACCUACUUGAGCUGCAACACAAAUAACCGUGCCUCCACCGUGCUGACCCAGUUUGUGAAGGCAACAUGUCUUUAUGGGCUUCCGUCACGAGUGCGAUCAGACCAUGGGGGUGAAAAUUCACGAAUUGCCCUAUUCAUGAAUCUCGUUCAAGGGGUGGAACGGAGGAGUCACAUAACAGGAGAAUCUGUUCACAAUCAGCGGAUAGAGCGCCUUUGGAGAGAUGUUUUCCUCCAUGUGCUUCAGUACUUCUACAAUUUGUUCCACAGUCUAGAGGAUUCUGAGGUCCUUGAUCCAGAUGAUGACGUCCACAAGAUGUCCCUGCAAAUCGUUUUCCUGCCGGAGAUACAAAAGAGAUUGGAUCUGUUUAGGAAUGGAUGGAAUCACCACAAAAUGAGAACAGAAAACAACAAAACACCGGUCCAAAUCUGGACUGCAGGAAUGCUUUCCAACAUGGAGGCAAACUGCAGAGCCAUCAGCAAUGUUUUUGGUGAAGAUCCGUACAGCACACACACUCUAGAAGAGCUUUUGGCACAACAUGGCAUAGACAACUUCCCUGUGACUGAUGACGAAGAUCAUUUUCCAGCUGUAGUUGUGGAACAACCCAGAAUCAAUCUGAGCCAUCAGCAGCAGCAAAAUAUUUAGCAGACAAUUGAGACCAUCUCAGACGCUAACAAUAAGUAUCAGACGUGUUGCAGAGAAAUUGCAAACAUAUUACAAGAUGGCUGAUACACAUCAUUUUGGUACAGUGUGUUUGUUCUUGCUACACGCCCUCAAGAGUUCAUGUUAAGCCCAAACUUUUCCUUAAUGUCAUACUUAGAACUUCUUGUAGUAUAUAAGCUGACAGGCAAACAUGCAUUCAUUUGUAGUUUAAACAUCACCUUCCACAUUGCUUCAGAAAAAGGUUGAUGUAUUCUGGCGUGCUAAUCAUCUCAAAGGAAUUAUGUAAGAUUUUCCUAAUAAAAUAUCCAAAAUGUG